GGAAAAGAAAACAAUAGUGAUUUCCGAAGUAGCGGCGAGCGAACCGGAAAUAGCCCAAACCUAAUAUAUGUUCAAGUCCGAAAACCUUGUAUAUUAGGGGUAGUGGGGUUUGAGAUGCAGAGUUUCGGAUCUGCAAAGAAGUUACAAAGUUUAUUUAUAAUUGAAAAGCCUGGAAAGGCUUGCCAUAGAAUGUGAAAGCCAUGUAAAUAAAAUGAAUAAAUCUUCUUUUCAAAUACCCAAGUACCGCGGGACACG
rnacentral:rRNA from 1 species